rnacentral:rRNA from 1 species
GAUGAGCGCUGGCGGCGUGCCUAAUACAUGCAAGUCGAGCGAACAGACGAGGAGCUUGCUCCUUCGACGUUAGCGGCGGACGGGUGAGUAACACGUAGGUAACCUACCUAUAAGACUGGGAUAACUUCGGGAAACCGGAGCUAAUACCGGAUAAUAUUUCGAACCGCAUGGUUCGAUAGUGAAAGAUGGCUUUGCUAUCACUUAUAGAUGGACCUGCGCCGUAUUAGCUAGUUGGUAAGGUAACGGCUUACCAAGGCAACGAUACGUAGCCGACCUGAGAGGGUGAUCGGCCACACUGGAACUGAGACACGGUCCAGACUCCUACGGGAGGCAGCAGUAGGGAAUCUUCCGCAAUGGGCGAAAGCCUGACGGAGCAACGCCGCGUGAGUGAUGAAGGUCUUCGGAUCGUAAAACUCUGUUAUUAGGGAAGAACAAACGUGUAAGUAACUGUGCACGUCUUGAUGGUACCUAAUCAGAAAGCCACGGCUAACUACGUG